rnacentral:lncRNA from 1 species
GUUGGUGUUUAGCUAGAGAAAAUUAUCACAUUCCAGCUUUUAUUCAUCCCACAACAGUAAAAUGGACAAUUUAGAGACAUGUCCAGGUUUAAACAACAUGUACAGCUGAUUGUCAUCUGUAAAGCAAUGAUAAUAGACACUUUAAAAUGUUCUUAAGACAUCCUAGGGGGAUCAGAGGUAGAGAAAUAACAGAGGACCCUGUACAGAACUCUGAGGGACACCACAAGACACAGCCCUGGCUGACAAAAUAUGUUUACCACCAGUGAUCAAAACUUCAAAAUCAGUCUAAGUUGGUGCCAGAGAUUCCACUGUCUGAGCUGCUGAAUUUGAUAUCAUGUGCUCUCAUAAUAUCACAGGCUGCACUGAGGUUCAGUAGGACAAGUAUAGAACUUGUCCCUGCAUCAACAGAUUAUUUGUGAUCUUGAGUAAAGCAGUGAACAACCUUUAAAAAAGACAUCGAGCCAAGAGUGUGGUGAAUUUAGGCCAUGAGGUUAACAGUGCUGUCAUAUGUCCUUCCUGAAAACUAACCUAGAUCAAGCUGCACGUGUGAAAGCAAACAGGCAGAUGUUCUCCGAUCAACCCUCUUGUGUAAUUUUAGAUAAAGUCUAAUAGAGCUCCUGCUAAAAUGUGGCAGGAAAUCUUGAUUGAAACCGUCCGCUCUGAUGAGGUCAGUAUCAUAAACUUGAUUGUGACCCGAUAGAUAGUGGUCACAGUUUGAUUUCUGAUAAUGAACUCUGGUUUCACAGUGUCACAUGCCCUCUGCUUUCUUUUAUGUGUUCUCAUUUUCAAUCAUCUGACUGUUCUUUUGUAUCUGGGUUUCUCUCCACGUGUUUUUAAAGUGUUUUAUGGUUUGACCUGGCAGCUGAACAAGCUUCAGACAGGGGGAAAUAAAGUUAAUGUCAAUGCUAAGUGGAUGAACUCGGGACAGAGGUGAAUUUAUUGAGGUCAAGAUUUAACCCAAUACAGCCAUAAAACAAUCAACAUAGUGAUUGAGAAAGACAAUUUACAGUAGUCCAGAAAUCAUCAGUGUGUUUGGAAAAAUCCAACAUUAAUUUCUGCAGGAGUCCAGACUGUCAAGUGAUUAUUUUUAAAAUCCCUAAUUCACUUUUUCAAAAGUUGAUUGCAAUUGAUUAAACUUUGAAUUGCAAAAUUCUAUUAUUAUAUACACAGCAAAGCAAAUUCACACAAUUGUCUUUAUUUGGGAAUCAAAUUAAUGUAAUGAAAUGAAGUGUACACUCUAGAGCAGACUGUGCAAAUCCAAUAUCAUAUUCAUCUGUUUGUUUAAAUUAGUUUAUAAUCUCCUGAAUAUACAAAAUUUUGAAGUUACUUAAAAAAUGAUAUCCAUCCACACAUUAAACUCCCACACACAGUAAAUAAUAAAAGCCUGACAUUAAAAAAAAAUGUUUUAAAAUCAACCCGUGGUACAGAACAUGACUUGGAGUACAGACAGUGAGCUGUGACAGUCCAACACUUGGUUAGAAGUUAAAUAUGGUCAACUCUUUUGAAAUUUCAGUCCAAAUCAGAGCCCUUUCUGUAAAGUCUGAGCUAUCUUUAUUUCAAUCCCAUUCAAGAAGGGGUCCCAUGAUUUAUAAAACACUGAAGGCUUGUCCUUAGUAAGUCCCUGCCUCUAAAAGGAUGAGCUCCAUUAUACUUUGUAGCUAAAGUGACAGCAGUGGAGGUUUGUCAGAAAUCCAGUACUUAUUAACUUAUUAGAGAAACCCAUUUCCAAUAGUAACACUAUUCUUAUUUACACCAUACUGUAAAAAAAAUAGUUACCCAUAUGCACACUAAAUUCCUAAGCAACAACAUCCACACAUGUGCCAGUGUCAGUGAGUAAGAAAAAACAAUAAUGUUAGUUUCAGUUUGACUUAUAUUUGAAUGCAAUAGCAUUUGAUGGUUAUUCAAACAGAACAUAAAUAACUUUCUCCCCUGCUGAGUGAUAAAUCAUCUGAUAAUAGCCUGAACAAAACGUGAGUACUGGUGUCACAAUUCUUAAAAUGGUACAUCAUGGUGACUUACCAUAAGGACUGUCUGUGUUGACAGCAGGAUAUUUCCCAGAAAUCAACUCCAAAACAUGUUAUUGCACCAUUUGGAACAUCAGCCCACUUUUCCUUAACCUUAUUUGUAAGAUUGAACCCAUUAGGUGUCCUUGAUUUUCAUCCAAAGCCAAGUACUGAAUCAACACAGAAUCACCCAGAGAACUCUGAUCUGCCCUGACUCUGUCCAGACUACUGGAAAUGUCUUAAUUUAAUGUAUGUUUCAGUAUCUGAACCAUAAACUGUAUAUACAAUCUAUGAUCUGAACCUUGAAAAAUGAAACAUUCAACAAUUAUAAGGUAAAAGUACAUUUGACCUCUGAGACAAUGGUGUAAAUGACAAACAUACACAGAAAAUACUCCUAAUAAGUAACACUUAAGGACUAACUGAUUUUAAGUAAAUUUGGUGCUCUUCAUGAAAACACUUUUAGUAAAUAACUUGUCCCCAUAAGACACGUCUCAUUUUGGGUUAUUUCUCAACUCAUUGUGUCAAUGUGUACUUUAAUGUCCCCCUUUACCUGGAACUUUUUAUCUCCAGCAAAUAAAGUUGCAACACGGGUCAGUCCUUCACCGAGAAGUCAGCGUCUCAGCAUUGUCUUAAUAUGGUCUUUCCAUCUCCAUUGUCUUAAUAUGGGAUCCCCAUCCGAGCCGUAAACUGACCUCCAGUUACCUCUGCGACCCUGAACGCAGCACAGC